GGCCUGGUAACUCAGUGGUUAGAGUGCCAUUCUUAUAAAAUGGAAGUCGAUGGUUCGAACCCAUCCCAGGCCA
rnacentral:tRNA from 1 species